rfam:Hepatitis E virus ORF1, ORF2, ORF3,complete cds&apos;s; methyltransferase, Y domain, papain-like protease, poly-proline hinge, X domain, helicase and RNA-directed RNA polymerase genes, partial cds&apos;s.
GAGUCAGUGAAGCCAGUGCUCGACCUGACAAAUUCAAUCCUGUGUCGGGUGGAAUGAAUAACAUGUCUUCUGCUGCGCCCAUGGGUUCGCGACCAUGCGCCCUCGGCCUAUUUUGCUGUUGCUCCUCAUGUUUCUGCCUAUGCUGCCCGC